rnacentral:rRNA from 1 species
UACGUAGGGGGCGAGCGUUGUCCGGAUUUAUUGGGCGUAAAGAGCUCGUAGGCGGUUCGAUAAGUCGGAUGUGAAAUCUCCACGCUCAACGUGGAGGGGCCAUUCGAUACUGUCGUGACUCGAGUCCGGUAGGGGAGUGUGGAAUUCCCGGUGUAGCGGUGAAAUGCGCAGAUAUCAGGAGGAACACCGGUGGCGAAGGCGGUUCUCUGGGCCUUACCUGACGCUGAGGAGCGAAAGCGUGGGGAGCGAACAGG